rnacentral:rRNA from 1 species
UACGUAGGGUGCGAGCGUUGUCCGGAAUUAUUGGGCGUAAAGAGCUCGUAGGCGGUUUGUCGCGUCUGCCGUGAAAGUCCGGGGCUCAACUCCGGAUCUGCGGUGGGUACGGGCAGACUAGAGUGAUGUAGGGGAGACUGGAAUUCCUGGUGUAGCGGUGAAAUGCGCAGAUAUCAGGAGGAACACCGAUGGCGAAGGCAGGUCUCUGGGCACUUACUGACGCUGAGGAGCGAAAGCGUGGGGAGCGAACAGG